AUCUAUGGUGGCGACCGGCGCACGGGUGCGUAACGCGUAUGCAACCUACCUUUAACAGGGGGAUAACACUGAGAAAUUGGUACUAAUACCCCAUAAUAUCAUAGAAGGCAUCUUUUAUGGUUGAAAAUUCCGAUGGUUAGAGAUGGGCAUGCGUUGUAUUAGCUAGUUGGUGGGGUAACGGCUCACCAAGGCGACGAUACAUAGGGGGACUGAGAGGUUAACCCCCCACACUGGUACUGAGACACGGACCAGACUCCUACGGGAGGCAGCAGUGAGGAAUAUUGGUCAAUGGACGCAAGUCUGAACCAGCCAUGCCGCGUGCAGGAUGACGGCUCUAUGAGUUGUAAACUGCUUUUGUACGAGGGUAAACGCAGAUACGUGUAUCUGUCUGAAAGUAUCGUACGAAUAAGGAUCGGCUAACUCCGUGCCAGCAGCCGCGGUAAUACGGAGGAUUCAAGCGUUAUCCGGAUUUAUUGGGUUUAAAGGGUGCGUAGGCGGUUUGAUAAGUUAGAGGUGAAAUUUCGGGGCUCAACCCUGAACGUGCCUCUAAUACUGUUGAGCUAGAGAGUAGUUGCGGUAGGCGGAAUGUAUGGUGUAGCGGUGAAAUGCUAGAGAUCAUACAGAACACCGAUUGCGAAGGCAGCUUACCAAACUAUAUCUGACGUUGAGGCACGAAAGCGUGGGGAGCAAACAGGAUUAGAUACCCUGGUAGUCCACGCAGUAAACGAUGAUAACUCGUUGUCGGCGAUACACAGUCGGUGACUAAGCGAAAGCGAUAAGUUAUCCACCUGGGGAGUACGUUCGCAAGAAUGCAACUCAAAUG
rnacentral:rRNA from 1 species